GAAACUUAAAGGAAUUGGCGGGGGAGCACCGCAUGGGAGGAGCGUGCGGUUUAAUUGGAUUCAACGCCGGAAAGCUCACCGGGGGAGACUGUCGUAUGUGGGUCAGGCUGAAGACCUUUCCCGAAUAAAAGACAGAGAGGUGGUGCAUGGCCGCCGUCAGCUCGUACCGUAGGGCGUUCUGUUAAGUCAGAUAACGAGCGAGACCCCUGCCCUUAGUUGCCACUCAUGAGUCCGCUCAUGGAGCACACUAAGGGGACCGCUGGUGAUAAACCAGAGGAAGGAGGGGGCAACGGUAGGUCAGUAUGCCCUGAAUCCCUCGGGCUACACGCGCGCUACAAAGGCCGGGACAAUGGGCCGCGACCCCGAGAGGGGAAGCUAAUCUCAAAACCCGGUCGUAGUUCGGAUUGAGGACUGAAACUCGUCCUCAUGAAGCUGGAUUCCAUAGUAAUCGUGCCUCAAAAUGGCACGGUGAAUAUGCCCUUGCUCUUUUGCACACACCGCCCCGUCAAGCCAGGCGAGUUGGGGUAUGGGGUGAGGGGCCUGUUCGCCAUGGCAGGUUCAAAACCCGUGCUCGGCAGAGCGGGGGCUAAGUCGUAACAA
rnacentral:rRNA from 1 species